ACAAGCGGUGGAGCAUGUGGUUUAAUUCGAUGCAACGCGAAGAACCUUACCUGGGCUUGACAUCCCGGGAAUCCCCUGGAAACAGGGGAGUGCCCUUCGGGGAACCCGGUGACAGGUGCUGCAUGGCUGUCGUCAGCUCGUGUCGUGAGAUGUUGGGUUAAGUCCCGCAACGAGCGCAACCCUUGUCUUUAAUUGCCAUCAUUUAGUUGGGCACUUUAAAGAGACUGCCGGUGUUAAGCCGGAGGAAGGUGGGGAUGACGUCAAGUCCUCAUGGCCUUUAUGCCCAGGGCUACACACGUGCUACAAUGGCAGGUACAGAGGGCUGCGAAGCCGCGAGGUGGAGCGAAUCCCAGAAAACCUGUCUCAGUCCGGAUUGAAGUCUGCAACUCGACUUCAUGAAGGCGGAAUCGCUAGUAACCGCGAAUCAGCAGGUCGCGGUGAAUACGUUCCCGGGCCUU
rnacentral:rRNA from 1 species